AUUGAACGCUGGCGGCAUGCCUAACACAUGCAAGUCGAACGAGUGGCGGACGGGUGAGUAAUGUCUGGGAAACUGCCUGAUGGAGGGGGAUAACUACUGGAAACGGUAGCUAAUACCGCAAACCAUCGGAUGUGCCCAGAUGGGAUUAGCUAGUAGGUGGGGUAAAGGCUAACCUAGGCGACGAUCCAUAGCUGGUCUGCGAGGAUGACCGGCCACACUGGAACUGAGACACGGCCCAGACUCCUACGGGAGGCAGCAGUGGGGAAUAUUGCACAAUGGGCGCAAGCCUGAUGCAGCCAUGCCGCGUGUAUGAAGAAGGCCUUCGGGUUGUAAAGUACUUUCAGCGGGGAGGCGUUACCCACAGAGGAAGCACCGGCUAACUCCGUGCCAGCAGCCGCGGUAAUAC
rnacentral:rRNA from 1 species